rnacentral:rRNA from 1 species
UACGGAGGGUGCGAGCGUUGUCCGGAAUCACUGGGUUUAAAGGGUGCGUAGGUGGGUUGGUAAGUCAGUGGUGAAAUCUCCAGGCUUAACUUGGAAACUGCCAUUGAUACUAUCAAUCUUGAAUACCGUGGAGGUCAGCGGAAUAUGUCAUGUAGCGGUGAAAUGCUUAGAUAUGACAUAGAACACCAAUUGCGAAGGCAGCUGGCUACACGAAUAUUGACACUGAUGCACGAAAGCGUGGGGAUCAAACAGG